CCUACGGGAGGCAGCAGUGAGGAAUAUUGGUCAAUGGACGCGAGUCUGAACCAGCCAAGUAGCGUGAAGGAUGACUGCCCUAUGGGUUGUAAACUUCUUUUAUAUGGGGAUAAAACGUUCCACGUGUGGUGUUUUGUAUGUACCAUAUGAAUAAGGAUCGGCUAACUCCGUGCCAGCAGCCGCGGUAAUACGGAGGAUCCGGGCGUUAUCCGGAUUUAUUGGGUUUAAAGGGAACGUAGGUGGCUUUGUAAGUCAGUUGUGAAAGUUUGAGGCUCAACCGUAAAAUUGCAGUUGAAACUGGCAGUCUUGAGUACAGUAGAGGUGGGCGGAAUUCGUGGUGUAGCGGUGAAAUGCUUAGAUAUCACGAAGAACUCCGAUGGCGAAGGCAGUUCACUGGACUGCAACUGACACUGAGGCUCGAAAGUGUGGGUAUCAAACAGGAUUAGAUACCCGGGUAGUC
rnacentral:rRNA from 1 species